AUUUGAAAUCGACGUUCGACCAACUGACCACAUUUCAACGAAGUAUUUCUUUCUACGCUUUUGUUAUACAUUUAUACAUAGAUAUAUAUUAUUGUGAGUCAACUUCAUGAUGAAGAUGAACUGUUUCUGUGGAGGGAAAAACGCACAUUUGGUCGGAAAAUAUGAUGCUAUUGUGAAUCAAUUUAUUGAAAUAAGGUGUAAACUGAUCACCAUAUACCAAAAACAGAGAAAGCCAGGCUAGUAGCUCAUCUGCUUCACCUUCGACUCUCAAUUUCUCUUUACAAAUGUUCUCAAACAUAGCGUAGGCCAUCCCAAUAUGAAAUAAUAUUGUCCUCUCAUAGGCAGGCUUGAAAAUAGCUGGGGUGAAUUUGUUAGGUAAGGCUUUUUUUUUUUUAAAGGCGGGGGAAAUACAUUUACGUACGGAGUGUGGGACUCAUGCGAGAGAGAGAACCGCAUACUACCCACUAAAACCCCCACCGGGGGAUUUAUUCCCUCCAUUAAAACAAAUAAUAAUAUAUACAAUAAUAUACAAUAAUAUAUACAAUAUCUACAAAGUUGGCCCCGAAUGGGGCCGAUUGUUACAAAUACGGCUCGAUAUAACCGCCAUUUGCCCUAAUGGCCGCUCGAGCCCGAAUGACGAUAUUGUCACUUACUCUGCGCAGUGUGCCGGGAGUUAUGCUGGAAACUGCCCCUUGGAUGCGAUUCACCAAGUCUUCCCGAGAGGUGAUCGGUUCUCGAUACACCUCAUUCUGAAAAAUUUAUGACAUUUAGUUAUACUGAAAAUACUAUGAAAUCAAUUUUUUUUUCUGAAGAAAAUUUUAUAUCUUGCCUUCAGAAAUCCCCAGAAGAAAAAAUCCAACGGGUUCAUGUCGGGUGACCUGGGGGGCCAC